AGUCAUAGUAAUUUACGCAGAAAGACACAAAAAAAUAAAUGAUUCAUUCAUUGUGUCGCUUUAUUCAAGGAAACGCCUCAUUUGAGAAAGAUGUGACUCGGGAUUAGUGAGCGGAUGAGACGAACGUGAAGUCACUUUUGAUACGGAUGGAAAAUUAUGUGCUGUCACUUUGAUUGUGGAGGAGGGGCGUGGCCUGCGGACCUUCAGCGAAAUGAGGUGUACCAGGACCGGUUUCCAGAUCAGCGACAGAUUAUAAGAGAGGCGAAGGGGGCACGAUCGGGGGAGAGGGAGGAGGAAACCACGGCACCCCGACCACGAGCACGACGAUCGAUCCAGCCCGAGAUGACAAACCCCCGCAGCGGAUGCAAGCACCGGAUGCCGAAAGGCGUACAACGGCGACAAGCAGGCAGGACGCGCGCACUACAAAUGGGCGCGCCCGACUGGCCAGAAGACAGAUUUAAUGAGGAAAUAAAUGUGAAUCAAACCUGCUAUGAUAAGUCAUGUGUCAAGUGUCCCCGCAACACACACGAGGACGGCUGGGAGUCUGUCACACCCUUAUCUGCUUACUGUGUUACUAGUGUUUUAGUGAGAUUAUAAAGUCAUA